AAAAAUGCAAACCAAAUUAUUGUAGCUUAUGAAUAGUACUUUGUGGUGUUAUUACAGCCUUGCCCUCAACAUUAAUGAAUUGCCAAUUCUGCCCCUUAUUCCCACCGACUUACUUGGCCCUUGCUCUCUCACCGACUUCCCCACCUUCUUCCCCCCUCUGUCUGAAGGAAAAAGGGUCAGAGUAUUUAGGGAAAACAAGGAGAGAGAAACCUAGAGAGAGAAACUUCUGUAACUCAAGACCAACGACGAUCAUCCCUUUCGACGAUGGUGCUUCGAUUCUUCUCUGCAUUUCGAUUUUUCGAGUCUGAGGUUGUGGAAGACGAUUUCUCGAUCGUCACAUUCAUCAGGCAGGAGGCGUAAGACGGAGCAAGGUUUGGUGGAUUCGAGUUUGAGAAAUGGAGGCUGUAGACACCCAUUUGUGUCUCCCCGAAACCAAACCCAGUGAUGA